CAGAGACUGCAAGCGUUAUUCGGAUUCACUGGGCGUAAAGGGUGCGCAGGCGGCCAUGUGUGUGAGGCGUGAAAGCCCGAUGCUUAACAUCGGAAUUGCACCUCAAACUACAUGGCUAGAGCAUUGGAGAGGGUAGCAGAAUUCACGGUGUAGCAGUGAAGUGCGUAGAUAUCGUGAGGAAUACCAGAGGCGAAGGCGGCUACCUGGACAAUUGCUGACGCUCAGGCACGAAAGCGUGGGGAGCAAAAGGGAUUAGAUACCCCUGUAGUCCACGCCCUAAACGGUGCACACUAGGUCUUAAAGGAUUCGAUCCCUUUAGGGCCCAAGCUAACGCGUUAAGUGUGCCGCCUGAGGACUACGGUCGCAAGACUAA
rnacentral:rRNA from 1 species